rnacentral:rRNA from 1 species
CCUACGGGAGGCAGCAGUGAGGAAUAUUGGUCAAUGGACGAGAGUCUGAACCAGCCAAGUAGCGUGAAGGAUGACUGCCCUAUGGGUUGUAAACUUCUUUUAUAAAGGAAUAAAACGAGGCACGUGUGCCUUUUUGCAUGUACUUUAUGAAUAAGGAUCGGCUAACUCCGUGCCAGCAGCCGCGGUAAUACGGAGGAUCCGAGCGUUAUCCGGAUUUAUUGGGUUUAAAGGGAGCGUAGAUGGGUUGUUAAGUCAGUUGUGAAAGUUUGCGGCUCAACCGUAAAAUUGCAAUUGAUACUGGCAGUCUUGAGUGGGCGAGAAGUAUGCGGAAUGCGUGGUGUAGCGGUGAAAUGCAUAGAUAUCACGCAGAACGCCGAUUGCGAAGGCAGCAUACCGGCGCCCAACUGACGCUGAGGCACGAAAGCGUGGGGAUCGAACAGGAUUAGAUACCCCAGUAGUC